rnacentral:rRNA from 1 species
UACGGGGGGGAGCAAGCGUUGUUCGGAUUUACUGGGCGUAAAGCGCACGUAGGCGGACUAUUAAGUCAGGGGUGAAAUCCCGGGGCUCAACCCCGGAACUGCCUUUGAUACUGGUAGUCUCGAGUCCGGAAGAGGUGAGUGGAAUUCCGAGUGUAGAGGUGAAAUUCGUAGAUAUUCGGAGGAACACCAGUGGCGAAGGCGGCUCACUGGUCCGGUACUGACGCUGAGGUGCGAAAGCGUGGGGAGCAAACAGG